UACGGGGGGGGCAAGCGUUGUUCGGAAUUACUGGGCGUAAAGGGCUCGUAGGCGGCCAACUAAGUCCGACGUGAAAUCCCCAGGCUUAACCUGGGAACUGCGUCGGAUACUGGUUGGCUUGAAUCCGGGAGAGGGAUGCGGAAUUCCAGGUGUAGCGGUGAAAUGCGUAGAUAUCGUAAGGAAGACCAGUGGCGAAGGCGGGUCUCUGGACAGUUCCUGACGCUGAGGCACGAAGGCCAGGGGAGCAAACGGG
rnacentral:rRNA from 1 species